rnacentral:lncRNA from 1 species
CCUUUGCUGCAUGCUAUAUGUAAAGGACUGCAACCCAGUGGCGGAGCCAGCAAUUUCAUCAAGGGUGUUCAAGAUUUUUUUUUUAAUAAGUGAGUUGAAUGUUAUUUGCUUAACCUAGUGAUUCUACCAUGAACGAUCUCAACAUUUGUCAAUAUCAAAUAUAAACAAUCGAGUUUUUUUUCUUCUUUUUGAUGCAUUGAUUUAUAUGAUAAAAUAUAUGAUUAUUGUUUUUAAAGUGAAAUAUUGAUAGAACAAAUGCGUCUAGCUUUACGAAACAUAAAGCACCCCAGUAGAAAAAAAAAAUCUUAAAAAAGAAGAAGAUAAAACGCAUAUAUUGAUUUUAGCCUUGGGUUUAAAGUUGUUAACAUAUAUAAACACAUAUAAUGUAAAAUAGUGGCUUUUUUGUUUUCACCAUUUGAAAGUACAUUAUAUCCUAGAUAAAAAUUAGAAAUACACGAUAUCUAAUUAUUCAAAAUUAAAAUAAUGUAUUCAUAUAUGUUACUCUAUAUUAUUAAAAUUGUAAUAUUAAUAAUUAAGAAACUUGAGGAACAUAAUAAUGGUGUGUGAGGUUGUGUUCUGCUCUCAAAAUAAAACCAAAACAGUUGUGCACUCACGGGAUUCGAACUUGCGCACCUCGGGUGGAAAUGAACAUGCUUAACCACUGUGCCACGGAAGAACUUAUGUCAAGGUUGUUCAACAUUAAUUAUUUAUGCCUUAAAUCCAGAAUUUAACCUCUCUAUACGGUGUAAUUUUCCGGCGAAGGGUGGUCAGCUGACCACCCUUGGAUGGCUGUAGCUCCGCCACUGCUGCAACCAUUCAUCAACUCACCCUUUUUCCAAGCAAAAUCAGGUCGAACUUUAACCAAUUCCUUCACUACUUCUGCAAUCAAUUGUUUGACAAAAUAAGGAUCUUUGGUACUAAUGAAAAUGUUUUUUGUUCAAAUACUUUUUGGCUGCUAUAUAGCGAGAUGUUCUUAUAAAAACAUAUACGUAUGAUAUAACAUAACAUGAAAAGCAGUUCCAAAGAAAACUUGAUUAUUAUAAUAAAAUGCUAUUAUAUAUAGGAUGACAGUUAAGUACAGACAUCUGACCAUAUUCCCUUUUGCAUGACAUUUAAAAAAUUACAAGUAUUGAAAUAUUUUACCCUUUAUCUCAAUUUAAUAAAUAUGCACUUUAUUUAUGUAGUUAAAAUUAUUUACUUUCAUGUUUUUUAAGAAUAAUUAAUAAUCAGUGGGAAAUGAAAAAAAUAUUUAUUUUAUUUUUGUUUUCCAAAAUGACAAAUAUUUUGGACUAAAUACUUUUAGUAGUCAUGAUACUUUGAAAAAGACACAGGGACUAUUUAGAUAUUUUCAAAACUAUAUUACCCUCAAACAAUUGUUUUAAAAGGCACGGUCACAAAACAAGGCAUACGCAUCGUGGCGCUUGAUAUAGCCUCGUGGUCGUGGAUCAUAAAUUUUUAAUAUUUAUAAAUUAAUAUAAUAAAAAAUAUAAAACUAGAUGGAAAUUAUAGAAAUUUUAAUAAAGUACAUAAUACUUAAAAAUAUAUAUAGAAUUGUUUCAUCUUAAAUGUUAAUCAAAAUCAACAAUGGACUGGAAAUAUUUUUUUUAUCUCAAAAAACUAAUCAAAAUUGUUUUUUUAAACAAUUGAGUAGAGAUUUAUAAACGAAGGUUCCUACAAUCAAAAACAUCAAAUCAGAACAAGUGAUGAAGAAUGACAUCGUUUUGCUUUGCAGUUUGCACAUUGAUAAUUUCCUUUCUUUAACCGGUGAAAGGUGAAGAGAAAAAGCAAAAUUUAGGAUUAGGAAUAAAAUAUAUAUUUAAAUAUUUAAGUUUUCUUUUAACUUCUUUAAAUUUAAUAAAAAGUUGAAUAUUGAGUUUUUUAGUAUUAAUUUAAGGACUUGUUUCACAAUUUUUAUUUUAAUUUUAAUUAGGAGAGGUUUUCUGAACAUAAAAUUCGUUCAACGUCUAAAUAUACGUCCAGACUAAUGGAAUUUAUAUCUCAAAGUACCUUCGCCUCUGCAAAUAUUCACAGUGCUAUUUAGUACGCUCGCCCUAAACUCAAAUAAAAAGUAGCUGCACAGAUUUAACAGAAACACAUGCAUGGAUAAUUAAAUAACUUGAUCAACAAUUGAUAAUUUAUUAAAUUUACGAAGAUUCACACGUAGAAAAUGAUCAAAAGUGCACAAUUGUAUUCAUUAAAUAAAGGUUAUAUGUGUAACUGAAUAUUAUCACAAGAAUCUCAUUAAAAUUUAUCAAUAUUUUCAUAGAAUAAAAGCACAAAUUUUCCAAAUUAAAUUAAAAAAGAGGAUAACGACAGGACACUCGUUUCUUAAUGAGGACUUGCCCCAGACGUAGACUUUGGCCGUCUGAACAUUUGAAAAUACAGACCAUUUUCGCAGUUUUAUUUGAUUUGAUUCCACAGAACAGUAAACAGUCGCAAGAGAUACAACAACAUUGACAGUCUUCUGAUUAAUGGAACUAUGUCACAGACUCAACAACAAUUAGGGAGGAGAUCAAAAUCUUUAAUUCCCGGGUUUCCUUUGCCAAUAGACCAAUCAAUGGUGCUCUAUCGGAAACAAGAUUCAGCCGCUACAUGCCCACGGCGGAGCACUCCUAAGGCUUGGUGAGCUAGGUUUAGUGACUGGGGCGGACUUCUAUUCUAUACCUGUCUCCUUCUGUUACUAUUAUAUAACCUCCUCGAAGCAAGGAAGGGAAGUGGAGUUAUUCAAAAAUAAUUUUUUACUUGUUUAUUUUAAUAAGUUAAAAUAGAUUUAUUCUUUUUUUCUUUCAAGAUUAUGCUUAUUAUUAAGUAACUAUAUGGUAAAAUAGUAGUUGAAUUAAGAUUUAAAAAAAUAAUAAAUAAGAAUAAUUUAAUAAAAUAAGUUAAGGGAAAUAAUGUUAUAUCAAUAAAGAUCAAAUAAAAUGAAAAGAAAAGAGUACAACAUUUUAACAUGUAAUUUUAACUGGACAUUUAUCGAAAUUAUGUUACGAUUUAGACAAUUUUGAGUUAAGAGAAUAGUUACGUAAGUUUUUUUUUUCCACUGUUUAUGGUGACACCGUUAAAAAAACAAAAAAAUUAAUUUAAGUGGGUAAAUAUACAUGUCUUUACUCUUAAGUUAAAUUAAAUAUAAUAAUAAUAAUAAUAAUAAUAACAACAACAACAACUUCAAGAAUGAUGUAUAUAUUAUCACGUCAUCCCUUGAUUUACCUUAAUCGCAAUUAUAAUUGGAAAAAAAAAAUUGUCCACAGAAGUCAACGUCAUAUACAAAAUUAGGUGUUACGAAAUAAUAAGAAUUAAAUGUGUCAAAAAAAUCAAUUUUUUUACGUGUUCAUUUGGCAUGUUGAAAAUUAUUUUCUCAUCUUUGAUCAGUAUUUUUCUACUUUGAUGAAAAUAAUAUCUACUUACUUUAAUAUAUCAACUACAUUUGUCUAUUCUAUAAAAUUUGCUUCUACCGACACCAUUAAUUAGGAGUCCAAUUCCUUUUUAACUAAUUACGACCACAUACUCAAAUCCAACACGCCAUUCAUCGUACAUAACAAAAAGACAUUUACUGAUAAUAAAUUUUCCCUUUUAUAUAUAAUAUUUAUAUCUGUAAAAAAUUUGGUGGCAGUUGAACUAAUGUUAUUGUAUUCAAAGUUACUAAAGCUUUGAAUAAUAUUUGUAUAAAAUGUUGAUUAUAUAUUCAUAUUAUAUUACUAUCACUAAAUAAAAUAUAACGAUAAUUAUAUUAUUAUCAUAAAAUAAUUGCCAUAAAAUCUUUUAUUAAAUUUGUUGUAAUGAUUAAAAACUGAUUUUGAUUCAAGAACAACUUUUAUCUAUGCUUAUUAUUAAUUAGAGAUGAGUAAUAGUUUUCCUAGGAUAAAAAGAGGGUACAAUUCAUAUACCUAAAUUAGUAAGUUUAAGAGCAAAUAUAAGACCAUCACUUUUGAGAUGAAUUCUUUAUACACUAAAGUCUAAUUAAUUUGAUAGGAAAGAAGCAUAACUUUGCAAAAUGUACUAGUACUUUUUAUGCUCCAACAACUUUUUUAACCAAAACAAAGUCCCCUUUCCUUCUAUUUCAAGACUUACUGUACAAUUUAUAGUAUAUUAUAUUAGUUCUGUGAAUAUCAAUAUUAAACAAUGCAAGUGAGAGUCCAAUCUCCAAGCUUAGUUUCACCCAAAAGUGUGGCAUAAUGAUCCUUACUAAAGGUCCCUAGAAACUAAAAGUUCAAUUUUCAGUAGAGACAAAAUAACUAUUCUGUAUGUGAUUUUAUUCCAAUUGCUUAAUUCUUGGUCCUUAACAAAGUGACAUAGUACUUAUGCGGGUGGGAGGCAGGGACAAAGCUAGAGCUCGAUCACCUUAAGGGGUUUGGCAGAAUCCUAGUAGCUUUAUUCAAAACUCAUUAACUUAGAAUCCUAACACUUGUAAAUUCAAAAUCCUAGCUAACUACGCCUCUAUUAGAAGGUAACAAGUGUCUCGAACACUAUCAUUAUAUAGAGUUUUACUCGAAGUUUGAAUAUUCAAAAUUGGCAGAAUUUAUUUACCUGUAUGGCCUGAUGAAGCUGCAGCAUGAAGUGAAGUAGUGGACAUAUCAACUUCAAGCAUCAACAACAUGUGCAUAUUAUUAUUAUGUAACAAAUACUUAACCACUUCAAUCCUCCCUCUCUCACAUGCUACAUAAAGCACACUCUUAUCCCACAAAUUUGUCUUAUAAGCAAUCGAUGGAUCAUUCUCAACCAGAAUUCUCACAAUUUCUACUCUCCCUUCUCUACAUGCUUCAUGUAAGGGCGUCUCCUGAUCCCGAUUCUCCGCGGACACCAUCUCCGGGAACAACUUCACAAUCUCCCUCACCAAUUCAACAUGACCAAGUCUAGCUGCUAGAUGCAAUAUGGUUUGUUGUAAUGAACCCUCAAUGCUUUGUUUUACUAUGUUUGAAUCUUCUUCAAUCAGUUUUUGAAUGGCUUCAACAUCUCCCCUCAAAACUGCUUCAUUCAGCCGCCUGUCCAUUUUUUUUAAUCAAUUAAAAGUGUGUGAUAAUUUGUUUAUCAUAGGGGACUCACUAUUUAUGCAAACUUUUAAGUCUUUUUUUUCCACAGCUGCAGCAACCAAGAAGAUUCCUAGCUAAGGGACUAUAGCGUGUUCUUUUUCGUUUCAUUUUCUUAUAAACCACAUAAAAGGAUGUGGUGCAGUGGAUGAAACUACUCCUCCCUUAACCAGAUAUUUCAAGUUCGAGCCCUCAUGAAUAUGAAAAGAUUCUUGAUAGCUAGGGAGCACUUGAUCCCCCGAAAGGGGCUUUACACAUGCAACGUGAAUCUGAAUUAGUCAAACGGGU